rnacentral:rRNA from 1 species
GUUUCUUAAUUGGAAUCUAGAAUGAACGGUUUGAUGAAAAAUAUAUUUUCUUUAUUUUAUAUUAAAAACUUAAUUUUUUAGUUAAAAAGCUAAAAUAUUUUUAUGGGACGAGAAGACCCUAUAGAACUUUAUUUUUAAAUUUAUAUAUUUUUUAUAGAAUAUAUUAUAAAUAUAUAAAAAUUAAAUUUUGUUGGGGUGACAGAAAAAAAAUGAUAACUUUUUCUAAUUUUUUCAUUUAUAAAUGAAUUAUGAUUUGAUCCUUUUUUAAAGAUGAAAGAUUAAGUUACCUUAGGGAUAACAGCGUUAUUAUUUUAGAGAGUUCAUAUCGAUAAAAUAGUUUGCGACCUCGAUGUUGGAUUAUAAUAAGAUAUAGGAGUAGAAUAUUAUAUUCUGGGUCUGUUCGACCUUUAAACUUUUACA